rnacentral:rRNA from 1 species
CUACGGGUGGCAGCAGUCGAGAAUCUUCCGCUAUGGACGAAAGUCUGACGGAGCGACGCCGCGUGCGGGAUGAAGGCCUUCGGGUUGUAAACCGCUGUCAGUGGGGAGGAAAUGCAUCAGGGUUCUCCCUGGUGUUUGACCGAUCCGCAGAGGAAGCGCAGGCUAAGUUCGUGCCAGCAGCCGCGGUAACACGAACUGCGCAAACGUUAUUCGGAAUCACUGGGCUUAAAGAGUUCGUAGGCGGCCUUUCAAGUCGGGUGUGAAAUCCCUCGGCUCAACCGAGGAAUUGCGCCUGAUACUGUUGGGCUUGAGGGGGAUAGGGGUGAGCGGAACUGAUGGUGGAGCGGUGAAAUGCGUUGAUAUCAUCAGGAACACCGGUGGCGAAGGCGGCUCACUGGAUCUCUUCUGACGCUGAGGAACGAAAGCUAGGGGAGCGAACGGGAUUAGAUACCCCUGUAGUC